rnacentral:lncRNA from 1 species
GUCUAAGGGCCGUUAGCUCUGAUGUUCUAGGCUCUCAGAUCCUCCUGGCCUGUCUAGGCUCCCAGGCCUCUCCCCAGCUAGGGCUUCUCCUGCUGACAGGAGCUCAGCCUAGGCAGAGGGAGGGGCCGGUGGAAUGUGUGACCCCUGCUGCCCCUUCUGGCAGCAGGAAGCAGUGCAGGAGGGAGGAUCCAGGAAGUGGCAGGCAUAGCUCAGAGCUCAUGCUGAGAUCCAAGGAAUAUGAAAACUCUACUGUGUAUCAUAAUGUUUGCUACCCUCUUGUGUACUGACUGUGCCCAAGACACUGAAGAGAUUCCUCUGAGCACAGCCAGCCCUUCAGGUCUAAAUCUAUAUUCUUAUGAAUUCUGCUAUGGCAUAACAAACUCCCUUUCCCUGGGACUCAUAUACCUUCUCUGGAAAAAAAAAAAAGGGAUGAACGAGAUGUCCUGUAAGUUUACUCUCAGAUCACCAUCCAAAGUAAGUCCAAUACCCUUCUUUUUAGAGUCAAUCAGUCAACUAGCUUUUAAGAGCCUACUAUGUGUUGGGGGCAGUUAGGUAGCUCAGGAGAUAGAGCACCUGACCUGGAGUCAGGAAAAUUUGGUUUCAAAUCUGGCCUUAGACCCUUACUAUCUGUGUGACCCUGGACAAGUCACUUAACCCCAUUUACCUCAGUUUCCUCAUCUGUAAAAUGAGCUGGAGAAGGAAAUGGCAGAUCACACCAGUAUCUCUGCCAGGAAAACCCCAAAUGGGAUCACAAAGAGUUAGAUAUGACUGAAAUGACUAAACAAUGACAAGAAGUGUGUCAGGCUCUGUGUUGAGUGUUAGGAAUAUAAUGAAUGACAAAAGAGAGUCCCUGACCUCAAGAAGCUCAUGGUUUAAGAUAGGGGAUGACAUGCAAAUAACUAUGAGCAAGCA